CCUGGCUCAGGACGAACGCUGGCGGCGCGCCUAACACAUGCAAGUCGAACGGAGUUGUGUUGAAAGCUUGCUGGAUAUACAACUUAGUGGCGGACGGGUGAGUAACACGUGAGUAACCUGCCUCUCAGAGUGGAAUAACGUUUGGAAACGAACGCUAAUACCGCAUAACGUGAGAAGAGGGCAUCNCUCUUUUUACCAAAGAUUUAUCGCUGAGAGAUGGGCUCGCGGCCGAUUAGGUAGUUGGUGAGAUAACAGCCCACCAAGCCGACGAUCGGUAGCCGGACUGAGAGGUUGAUCGGCCACAUUGGGACUGAGACACGGCCCAGACUCCUACGGGAGGCAGCAGUGGGGGAUAUUGCACAAUGGGGGAAACCCUGAUGCAGCGACGCCGCGUGAGGGAAGACGGUUUUCGGAUUGUAAACCUCUGUCUUUAGGGACGAAAAAAUGACGGUACCUAAGGAGGAAGCCACGGCUAACUACGUGCCAGCAGCCGCGGUAAUACGUAGGUGGCAAGCGUUGUCCGGAAUUACUGGGUGUAAAGGGAGCGUAGGCGGGGAGACAAGUUGAAUGUCUAAACUAUCGGCUUAACUGAUAGUCGCGUUCAAAACUAUCACUCUUGAGUGCAGUAGAGGUAGGCGGAAUUCCUAGUGUAGCGGUGAAAUGCGUAGAUAUUAGGAGGAACACCAGUGGCGAAGGCGGCCUACUGGGCUGUAACUGACGCUGAGGCUCGAAAGCGUGGGUAGCAAACAGGAUUAGAUACCCUGGUAGUCCACGCCGUAAACGAUGAUUACUAGGUGUGGGGGGACUGACCCCUUCCGUGCCGGAGUUAACACAAUAAGUAAUCCACCUGGGGAGUACGACCGCAAGGUUGAAACUCAAAGGAAUUGACGGGGGCCCGCACAAGCAGUGGAGUAUGUGGUUUAAUUCGAAGCAACGCGAAGAACCUUACCAGGUCUUGACAUCGAGCGACGAACCAAGAGAUUGGUUCUUCCUUCGGGACGCGAAGACAGGUGGUGCAUGGUUGUCGUCAGCUCGUGUCGUGAGAUGUUGGGUUAAGUCCCGCAACGAGCGCAACCCUUAUCAUUAGUUGCUACGCAAGAGCACUCUAAUGAGACUGCCGUUGAUAAAACGGAGGAAGGUGGGGAUGACGUCAAAUCAUCAUGCCCCUUAUGACCUGGGCUACACACGUACUACAAUGAUGAUCAAACAGAGGGAAGCAACACAGCGAUGUGAAGCAAAUCCCGAAAAAUCAUCUCAGUUCAGAUUGCAGGCUGCAACUCGCCUGCAUGAAGUCGGAAUUGCUAGUAAUCGCGGAUCAGCAUGCCGCGGUGAAUACGUUCCCGGGCCUUGUACACACCGCC
rnacentral:rRNA from 1 species